GCGCGGCUGUUAUGUCCACCGCCGGUUCUGCC
rnacentral:scRNA from 1 species